rnacentral:tRNA from 1 species
GCGAGUAUAAUACAGUGGCAGUAUAUUUGCUUCCCAAGCAAAAUACGCGGGUUCGAUUCCCGCUACUCGCA